GUGCCAGCAGCCGCGGUAAAACGUAGGUGGCGAGCGUUAUCCGGAUUUACUGGGCGUAAAGCGCUUGUAGGUGGUUUUGUAAGUUGGGCGUGAAAUCUCCGGGCUUAACUUGGAGAGGCCGUCCAAUACUGCGAGGCUAGAGGUUAUUCGAGGAAAGUGGAAUUCCUGGUGUAGUAGUGAAAUGCGUAGAUAUCAGGAGGAACACCCGUGGCGAAGGCGGCUUUCUAGGAUAUACCUGACACUGAGAAGCGACAGCUAGGGGAGCAAACAGGAUUAGAAACCCUGGUAGUCC
rnacentral:rRNA from 1 species